rnacentral:lncRNA from 1 species
UUAUUCUUUCCGCCUUCUGCAUCUGCUUUAAGGAGCUUUGUAGAUACGAUUGGCUGUGGAUUUGGGCCGGAUCAGGGCUGUUUCUGCAAUCUAUUUCCCUAAUCCCACUUUAAUUUUAUUCAUCUUUUUUUUUAGACUAUUAAAGAUAAUUUAAUUGAUCUCACCUCUUAUUUGGUUUGGAUACGUGAAAUCCCAUCAAGUUAAAGGAUCACGAGGAAGUCUCUCCCUUAAGGUUCAUGGAGACUCAAGACAAACAAGGUGUUGCUGGUACGAAUGCACACGUCUGCAAAUCUCAGGAAGCUCGGUGUCUGAUGAGGCAUUGAUCCUUACACCGAAUGGACAUGAGACUACGGAAACGGCUGCCACAGGGAAAAGCAUCAGGCCGUGGCUUCUUAGGUCUGAGAAUCUGCUGACACUGCGUUCCUGAGGGAAGAAAGUGCUACUGACUGAAUAAACCUGGGGCUUUAGGGGAGGAAGAUUCUGAG